rnacentral:RNase_P_RNA from 3 species
UCGGUCGGCCGGGCGGCCGCGCGCGGAAACGCUCGAGGAACGUCCGGGCUCCGCAGGGCAGGGUGAUGGCUAACAGCCACCCGGGGUAACCCGCGGGACAGUGCCACAGAAAAGAAACCACCUCCACGGACAGUGGCGGUAAGGGUGAAAAGGUGAGGUAAGAGCUCACCAGCGGCGUGGGUGACCGCGUCGGCUAGGUAAACCCCACCCGGAGCAAGACCGAGCAGCAGGCAGGGCGGCCCGUCCGAUGCCUGCGGGUAGGUUGCUGGAGGCCGUCGGCAACGGCGGUCCUAGAUAGAUGGUCGCCACCCUAGUGCCGGUAACGGCCUGGGGGACAGAACCCGGCGUACAGGUCGACAGAUCCG